CUCGAAGCAUGUGAUGACCUUAGGUGGUUUUCUCUUUGAGCUUCUCUCAGAAGCUCUUGGUUUACACUCGGAGAUACUUAAGAGCAUGGAUUGCAUGAAGGCUUUGAAUGUGGUCGGCCAUUAUUACCCUCCUUGUCCACAACCCGACCUAACUUUUGGCACAAGUCAGCAUUCCGACAGCUCCUUCAUCACCAUUCUUCUUCAGGACCAAAUCGGUGGUCUUCAAAUUCUUCGUAAGGACUCUUGGGUCGAUGUCACUCCUCUUCCCGGAGCGCUCGUCAUCAACAUAGGAGAUUAUUUACAGGCAAUAUAUCAUUUUGGAGCUUUUAAAAGUAUAAUAUACAAUGCACUUUUGCUGAGAAACUAGGACACCUUUUAAUAUGCAGCUAAUAACGAAUGACAAGUUCAUAAGCGUGGAGCAUAGGGUGCUCACAAACAGAGCAGGACCGAGGAUUUCUGUCGCGGGCUUUUUCAGCACAAAUAUGCUUCCCAAUUCAACGGUUUACGGACCAAUCAAAGAGCUUCUUUCUGAAGAAAACCCUCCAAAAUACAAAGACUUCACUUUAGAAGAAUACAACAAGGGGUACUUUGAGAAAGGCCUUGACGGAACAUCGCAUCUGUCUAAGUUCAAGAUAUGAAGAACAUCUGAGUUAAAAUAUAUGUGCAUCAGUUCUUGUCUUGUUUUCCAUUUUAAGCUACUUUAUUUCCCUCUUAGCUCCCCUAUAACUAAACCACUACCAAAAGUAAGUACAGAAAUUGUGUGUCGGCAUUUAUUAAAUUCCCAUCGUAACAGCUUUGUAUUGGAUCAACAGAAAUAAAAUCAUUCUUCGUGUAUCAGAGAAUAAAAGUUGUUACUUCAAUGUUGGUGCUAGUUAUCAUUAAUUAUGCAAAUUUUAUGAAAAUGUUCUUAAAUUAAUAGAUAGUAGUGCUAAUUAUCAUUAUUUCGGUUCUUGAGUAAAUAAAAAUCGCCAGUAAUAGGUGUUCUUCUCUUUUCAUUUAUGAGAAAUUACCACAAAUAUCACUGGUACUACUUUUCAUUUUCAUGUAUACACUAAUCACUUUUAUCCUCAUUUUUAAUAAAUGGUAGAAGACACUUAUAUUCAUAGUGUUAACUAAUCUAUACUUAGGGUUGAGAAUUGAGGGGUGGCUUAGAGUUUUUGGAAUAUGAAAUUUAUGAUUCUAAUAAAUAUAUAAAUAAAUACUUAAAAAUUUAAAAAAUUUUAAAAAAAUAGUUUCAAGCAUAGUUUUCGAAAAAUAAAAUAAAAAUUCAAAAAAAAAAUUAUAAAAAAGUUCGAAUUUUAAAAAGUAUAAUUCGAAAACAUUAAAAAAAUUAUCAUUAUUUUUUAUUAUUAUUAUUUUUUAUUUAUUUAAAUAAUGAUUUAUUAUAUAUAUAGAGAACAAAUAUAUAAGAGUAUUUUGCCACUUAAUGAAGAAAAUAUUUUUGAAAAUGUCUCUUUAGUGGUGGUAAAGAUGAAAAAUGAUACCAUGAAAGUGGUAAACAUGAAAUUUCCCCUUGAUUUAUUAUGUUUCCUUAGCACAUUUAAUGUUCAGAGUACACCUGGGCGUUCGGUGGUACGUUCGGUUUCGGUUCGGGUGAUUCGGAUUUUCGACAAUUAAUCUUUAUCAAAAUAUUUUUGUAUAAUAUAUUUUGGUUUGGAUUUCAUAAAUUUUACGAGCUUUCUUUUGUAUCCAGACUAAACUGUUACCAAUAUUUUCUUUCUAUUUAAUUCAGAAAAUGAGGUGUAAACUAGAUUACUAGUUAAUAAAAAAGUAUUUGUGGAAAAUAUAGAAAAACUUUCAAUAUGAGGAGAGGAUUAUUCAACCCAUUCGUUUUUAAGUUUUUUUAUUGAGUUUUCCUGGUUGUGAAUGUUUAUGCUGACAUCAUGCCAACAAAAACUGCAAACGUCGUCAACGGUCACUGUCGUUCCCACACACCAAAGACCAAUUUUUCAACCAUGGAAUGUCGCUGCUAUGCCUCUCUUAUCUUUUCCUUCACCUCAUGAUCAUAAGUAAUGACUAUGACUAUAAAACUAUCUCCAACCCAUCCCUAUUUUUAUCUCUAUAUUUUCCUCUAAAAUAGGAAAACUCUAUUAUAGAAAUGAAAAUGUAUACCAUUUUGCUUAUACUCAAAAGCAAGGAGAUAUUCUCUUAAUCACUUAUCGACCAAACGUAUACCAUUUUCUUGAUACUCAAAAGUCACAUCAAGAUCAAGAUUACGUGGAACGUUCUUCUUCUUCGUCCUAUAUAUGGCGCAGCCUUUGUAAUAAAAUUUGAAAUAUUAGUCAAUAAAAAUAUUUGUGAAAAAUAUAAUAAAACUUUCACUAUGAGGAGGAUUUUUUUCGAUCAAUAUGAGGAAGAUUAUUCGACCCGUUAGUUUUAAGUUUUUUUUUUUAAGUUUUCCUCGUUGUGACUGUUUAUGCAGACAUCACGGCCAACAACAAGUGCUAACGUCAUCAACGGUCAUUGUCGUUCCACACACCAAAGACCAAAUUUCAACCAUGGAGUGUCGCUGCUAUGCCUCUCUUAUCUUUUCCUUUACCUAAUGCUCAUAACAAAUAAUAGUAUAUACCUAUAAGAGUACUGCCUUAAUCACUAAUCGACCACAAGAUCGAAAACGUAAACCAUUUUUCUUGAUAUUCAAGUCACAUCAAGAUGCAGACUACGUAUAAUAUUCCUUUUCUUCUUCGUCCUAUAUAUGACGCAGCCUUUGUGAGAAAUUUCGAAAUAGUUUCAAAAAACAAAUAUGGAGCUCGACUCUUACAACGAGCGCAAAGCUUUCGACGAGACCAAGGCAGGAGUUAAAGGUCUCGUCGAUGCUCACAUCACUGAGGUUCCUCAUAUCUUCCGUCUCCCUCAAGGUACCUUAUCCGACAAGAAACCCUCUGUUUCUGCCUCUGCGAUCCCUGUUGUCGACUUGGCAGAAGUAGACGUGUCACGUGAACGUGUCGUUGAGAAGAUCAAAGAUGCUGCAGAGACUUGGGGAUUUUUCCAGGUGAUCAAUCAUGGUGUUCCUUUAAGCGUUAUUGAAGAGAUCAAAGGUGGAGUUCGCAGGUUUCAUGAGCAAGAUCUCGAAGUUAAGAAAUCUUACUUCACGCGUGACCCCACCAAGUGUUUUGUCUACAAUAGUAAUUUUGAUCUGUACAAUCCUUCUUCUCUAUGUGUUAACUGGAGAGACACCUUCGUUUGUUGCAUGGCUCCCGAUCCUCCAAACCCUGAAGACAUACCAUUGGCUUGCAGGUAUAAAUAAAUAUUGUUUUCUCAUCAAAAAUCUGUGGAAAAAAUAUUGAUUCUAACUAGGGCCGGAUUUGAGAUUUUGUGGGAUAAAAAUAUUUACUAAGAUUUUAAUAAAAAAAUAUUUAUAUAAUUUGUAGGCUGAUUUUUUUUGUAUAUAUUGAUUCUGACUAAGGCAGGGUUUUGUGGGAUAAAAAUAUUUACUAGAUUUAAUGAAAAAUAUUUAUAUAGUUUGGAGGUUGAUCCCCUAUACUAUAUUUGCGAAGUGAUUUUGCCAUAUGUCAUCUUUACAAUCAAUUUCACAAAACAAAUAUGACAUGACCACUGAAAUUGAUGACAUGGUUUCCGAAAAAAAUAUGACAUGAAUAAUUUUAUUUAAUGCUGAUUUAUAUUUUUGGCAAACUUAUUAAAAUAUGAUAAUAAUUCAUAUAUUACAUUUAAUAUUGAUAUUUCUUUUUGGUAAACUUUUUUUAAAUAUGGUAAUAGCUCAUACAUCAUCUAUAAAAUAAAUAUAUUAAUAUAUAAUUUUGUAUAAUUAUACAAUUUGUAUUACCAAAGCUUUCAAAGUUUCUACAAUUUUUAAAAAAAUUUAAAUAUCUAAUCGUAAAAUCAUUAGUUUCUUAUAUAUCUACAAAUUUUAUAAAUAUUGUUUAGGCUAAAUUUUUGAUAAUUAUAUAAUUUUAUAUCAUUUUUAUUAGUUUUAUACAAAUUGUUUAAUAUAUAUCAAAUUUUUAUUAAACAUUAGUAAGAAAAUAGUAAAAUCUAUAAUAUUUAAUAAAUUUUAUUUUUAAAUAUAAGUUAGAUUUAAAAGAUUUCUUACUGCACAUGGUGCAUGAAAACACUUAGUUUCUUUGUAUAUAACUCUAAAAAAAUUUGGGAACCAAUGUCAAUAUUUUACUAUAUUGUGCUCAAUCCGGUCAUGAAUUUCUAACUGACAUCAUUGGCUCAGGGAUGCUAUGAUUGAGUACUCGAAGCAUGUGAUGACCUUAGGUGGUUUUCUCUUUGAGCUUCUCUCAGAAGCUCUUGGUUUACACUCGGAGAUACUUAAGAGCAUGGAUUGCAUGAAGGCUUUGAAUGUGGUCGGCCAUUAUUACCCUCCUUGUCCACAACCCGACCUAACUUUUGGCACAAGUCAGCAUUCCGACAGCUCCUUCAUCACCAUUCUUCUUCAGGACCAAAUCGGUGGUCUUCAAAUUCUUCGUAAGGACUCUUGGGUCGAUGUCACUCCUCUUCCCGGAGCGCUCGUCAUCAACAUAGGAGAUUA
rnacentral:lncRNA from 1 species